rnacentral:rRNA from 1 species
UGCAAGUCGAGCGGUAGAGAGAAGCUUGCUUCUCUUGAGUGCGGCGGACGGGUGAGUAAUGCCUAGGAAUCUGCCUGGUAGUGGGGGAUAACGUUCGGAAACGGACGCUAAUACCGCAUACGUCCUACGGGAGAAAGCAGGGGACCUUCGGGCCUUGCGCUAUCAGAUGAGCCUAGGUCGGAUUAGCUAGUUGGUGAGGUAAUAGCUCACCAAGGCGACGAUCCGUAACUGGUCUGAGAGGAUGAUCAGUCACACUGGAACUGAGACACGGUCCAGACUCCUACGGGAGGCAGCAGUGGGGAAUAUUGGACAAUGGGCGAAAGCCUGAUCCAGCCAUGCCGCGUGUGUGAAGAAGGUCUUCGGAUUGUAAAGCACUUUAAGUUGGGAGGAAGGGUUGUAGAUUAAUACUCUGCAAUUUUGACGUUACCGACAGAAUAAGCACCGACUAACUCUGUGCCAGCAGCCGCGGUAAUACAGAGGGUGCAAGCGUUAAUCGGAAUUACUGGGCGUAAAGCGCGCGUAGGUGGUUUGUUAAGUUGGAUGUGAAAUCCCCGGGCUCAACCUGGGAACUGCAUUCAAAACUGACUGACUAGAGUAUGGUAGAGGGUGGUGGAAUUUCCUGUGUAGCGGUGAAAUGCGUAGAUAUAGGAAGGAACACCAGUGGCGAAGGCGACCACCUGGACUAAUACUGACACUGAGGUGCGAAAGCGUGGGGAGCAAACAGGAUUAGAUACCCUGGUAGUCC